ensembl:snoRNA SNORA71 Small nucleolar RNA SNORA71
CCCUGUAUUCGGAAGCAAUUAUAAGCUGUCUGUGCCCAGGUCAUACAAUUGCAAGGAGAGGAUGCCGAAAGCCUUACCUUGUAUUUGGAAGGUUCAUUCCUGUCCUUGCCAAACCCUGGUGCUUUGGAACA